rnacentral:rRNA from 1 species
UCGAACUAUAGAGUUUGAUCCUGGCUCAGAUUGAACGCUGGCGGCAUGCUUUACACAUGCAAGUCGAACGGUAACAGGUCUUCGGAUGCUGACGAGUGGCGAACGGGUGAGUAAUACAUCGGAACGUGCCUAGUAGUGGGGGAUAACUACUCGAAAGAGUAGCUAAUACCGCAUGA